UACGUAGGGCGCAAGCGUUGUCCGGAUUCACUGGGUGUAAAGAGCGUGUAGGCGGCCAGGUAGGUCGGUUGUGAAAACUGGAGGCUCAACCUUCAGAGGUCGACCGAAACCAUCUGGCUAGAGUCCGGGAGAGGAGAGUGGAAUUCCUGGUGUAGCGGUGAAAUGCGCAGAUAUCAGGAGGAACACCAAUGGCGAAGGCAGCUCGCUGGGACGGUACUGACACUGAGACGCGAAAGCGUGGGGAGCAAACAGG
rnacentral:rRNA from 1 species